GACAGGCUGGCAGAACUCUCUCACAAAGUCCUCCUCCGAGGCCAGCAGCACCGCGUUCCAGGCAGCAAUGUCCAGCUCGCCAGCCGUGCCCCCGUACUCCUUGGGGAGAAUACUUUUUGGAAGGGCCAGACCACAUGAUUCUGUGGACCUUACACGGCCUGUGACCAGACGUUUUCCACCCCUGCCCUAGCAUAUCAUCUUACAGGAAACAAUAAUCUAACUCAUUAUGCUGACCCUUACAUCUACAUGGGAUUUAGCAGGAGGCAUCAGAAGAGUGGAAGCCAAGGAAAGCCAGAGCGCUGCCUCAAAGCCAGAAUGCAAACUUCUGAUAAUGACCAACUGUGACGUGGAUGUUUACAUACCAGCCUGGGGCACAGUAGGGCCUCAGACACAUGGAGAACUGUUCUGUCUCUGGUCCCCGCAGCUCAAAAGAGCCAGCACCCACGGGCUGGGUCAGAAUGAGCUAGGAGUCAAGCCGGAGAGACUUGGGCCACACUGUAUCUGCUAGGUCUGUUUCCCCGCCGACCGAAAAAGAAAAGUAAUUCUUGACUUGUCUAUCUAAAAGGAUUCCUUGAAGCACUGAGUGGGUUAUGAUGACCGUAAAAGGGCUUUGCAAACCAUUACACCCUGUGAAGAUAUAUAAGGAACCCGACGGUUCUCAGUGACUUGUGUUCUGAGACACAACUUGAGGGGUGAAAGCAUCGGGCCAAACAGUCCAACAGUGCUCCCCAUCCCCGGGUCCCACAGGCGGCCGGGCAGAAACACAAUUUCUCAGUUUCAUUUGUUAGGAGAAUUUCUCCUCUGUCUUCUUGACCCCCCAAAAAAGAGCAGAAAACAUUUCUCUGGUUUUUGGAGUCUUGUCCGAAAGCUGAUCUUGCCUAGAUUAAAGGUACCUCAGAAACUACUGGAGACCCUCAGGGGAAUGAGUGGUAAAUAGAACUUUCAAUGCUUUCGUAUUUUUCUGAUUGUAGGAGCCGGAAGUGGGGUGUGCAUAUCACAUGGGUAACUGGACAGGGCCCUGGGAAAGCCAAAACAACAGAAAGGCACACGACAAAUGGGGGCCAUACCUGAAGGAUGCCAAUCACCUUUUUGGCUAUAAAAGGGCCAAAG